rnacentral:rRNA from 1 species
CCUACGGGGGGCAGCAGUGGGGAAUAUUGCGCAAUGGACGAAAGUCUGACGCAGCGACGCCGCGUGGAGGAUGAAGGUUUUCGGAUCGUAAACUCCUGUCAAGAGGGAAGAAACCUAUUAAGAUUAAUACUCUUAGUAAUUGACGGUACCUCUAGAGGAAGCACCGGCUAAUUCAGUGCCAGCAGCCGCGGUAAUACUGAAGGUGCAAGCGUUAAUCGGAAUCACUGGGCGUAAAGCGCUCGUAGGUGGCUUUGUAAGUCAGGUGUGAAAGCCCACGGCUCAACCGUGGAAUUGCACUUGAUACUGCAUCGCUAGAGUAUAGGAGAGGGAAGUGGAAUUUCUGGUGUAGGAGUGAAAUCCGUAGAGAUCAGAAGGAACACCCGUGGCGAAGGCGACUUCCUGGACUAUUACUGACACUGAGGAGCGAAAGCGUGGGGAGCAAACAGGAUUAGAUACCCCCGUAGUC